GGGCCUCUUGCCAUCGGAUGUGCCCAGAUGGGAUUAGCUUGUUGGUGGGGUAACGGCUCACCAAGGCGACGAUCCCUAGCUGGUCUGAGAGGAUGACCAGCCACACUGGAACUGAGACACGGUCCAGACUCCUACGGGAGGCAGCAGUGGGGAAUAUUGCACAAUGGGCGCAAGCCUGAUGCAGCCAUGCCGCGUGUAUGAAGAAGGCCUUCGGGUUGUAAAGUACUUUCAGCGGGGAGGAAGGGAGUAAAGUUAAUACCUUUGCUCAUUGACGUUACCCGCAGAAGAAGCACCGGCUAACUCCGUGCCAGCAGCCGCGGUAAUACGGAGGGUGCAAGCGUUAAUCGGAAUUACUGGGCGUAAAGCGCACGCAGGCGGUUUGUUAAGUCAGAUGUGAAAUCCCCGGGCUCAACCUGGGAACUGCAUCUGAUACUGGCAAGCUUGAGUCUCGUAGAGGGGGGUAGAAUUCCAGGUGUAGCGGUGAAAUGCGUAGAGAUCUGGAGGAAUACCGGUGGCGAAGGCGGCCCCCUGGACGAAGACUGACGCUCAGGUGCGAAAGCGUGGGGAGCAAACAGGAUUAGAUACCCUGGUAGUCCACGCCGUAAACGAUGUCGACUUGGAGGUUGUGCCCUUGAGGCGUGGCUUCCGGAGCUAACGCGUUAAGUCGACCGCCUGGGGAGUACGGCCGCAAGGUUAAAACUCAAAUGAAUUGACGGGGGCCCGCACAAGCGGUGGAGCAUGUGGUUUAAUUCGAUGCAACGCGAAGAACCUUACCUGGUCUUGACAUCCACGGAAGUUUUCAGAGAUGAGAAUGUGCCUUCGGGAACCGUGAGACAGGUGCUGCAUGGCUGUCGUCAGCUCGUGUUGUGAAAUGUUGGGUUAAGUCCCGCAACGAGCGCAACCCUUAUCCUUUGUUGCCAGCGGUCCGGCCGGGAACUCAAAGGAGACUGCCAGUGAUAAACUGGAGGAAGGUGGGGAUGACGUCAAGUCAUCAUGGCCCUUACGACCAGGGCUACACACGUGCUACAAUGGCGCAUACAAAGAGAAGCGACCUCGCGAGAGCAAGCGGACCUCAUAAAGUGCGUCGUAGUCCGGAUUGGAGUCUGCAACUCGACUCCAUGAAGUCGGAAUCGCUAGUAAUCGUGGAUCAGAAUGCCACGGUGAAUACGUUCCCGGGCCUUGUACACACCGCCCGUCACACCAUGGGAGUGGGUUGCAAAAGAAGUAGGUAGCUUAACCUUCGGGAGGGCGCUUACCACUUUGUGAUUCAUGACUGGGGUGAAGUCGUAACAAGGUAACCGUAGGGGAACCUGCGGUUGGAUCACCUCCUUACCUUAAAGAAGC
rnacentral:rRNA from 1 species